CACAAAGGAAGUACAAGACUU
rnacentral:misc_RNA from 1 species